UAUAUCUAGUGUGGAUGUUAUACGUGACCUUGGCGUACUGUUAGAAAACGCUGUACGGUUUUGUCAGCAUGUGUGCUCUAUUUCUAAUGCUUCCCUGCGUGUCCUUGGUUUCAUAUUAAGGAUCAUGAUUUCCGGGAACCCUAUUUGUGUCAUUAGGUCCCGUACAUCCUUGAUACGCAGAGUGUACCGUGUAUCAGCCCUGGAGAGGUAGCAAGCUGAGGAACACAGCAACAACCUACAAGGAAGUAAUGGGUACUGCUUGGAAAACAGCAGAAGCGUAAAGGACCGUUUUAAUUGCUGGACUCAUGACACCCUUCCGACCCCAAGGACGAUCACAUCACGCCUGGACUUUACACAACAACAAUCCCGAGGUUGACCUUCUGACGACGGCCAGGCGGAGUGAACCCCGACUGUGACGUCACGCUACACACCUCAAAAGCUUCAAGACACCUUGCUAAUUUCUUAGUCCUUUGACCAUACCUCUUAGGCACCUUUCUAAUAGUUUAAACUCGAAUAAAUGUAAGUCACCCCCUUUUUUACUUCCCCUACUUGAUUUGUUUGCCUUUCAAUCCUUCAUAACUGUAUUUACUUCGCGGCCUUCUGAACUUUUAUUC